GUGCUCACUUUGGCAGCAUGUAUACUAAAAUUGGAACAAUACAAAGAAGUUUAGCAUUGCCCCUGUGCAAGGAUGACACACAAACUUGUGAAGUGUUCUAUAUUUUU
ensembl:snRNA U6 U6 spliceosomal RNA